rnacentral:lncRNA from 1 species
CCAUUUCAAACUCUUGGGUAUUGGAUACUACCUGUGGUUUUCAUAUCUACAAAUCAUUGCAGGGGCUGCAGAAAAUUAAAAAUUUGAGGAAGGGAGACUUCGAGCUCUAUGGUGCUGGAGGAGAUUUUAUCCAAGCAGAAGCUGUAGGGACAUAUAUCUUGAAGUUUCUUUCUGGGAAGAUCUUAGAGCUAACAAAUUAUUAUUACAUGCCUAAGAUCAUUAGAAAUAUUGUAUAUGUACCCUUGUUGAUAAAACAAGGAUAUCAAAUAUUUGUAAUGAGCAAUGGUUGCUCGAUUAAUUUUUCUAAUGAAAUAAUUUGCCAUGACAUCUUUGACAAUGGUUUGUUGACUCUAUGUUUGAAUAAUAAUAUUUUUCAUGUUGAUGAAAAUAGUAAACGUAAGAGAGAUAAUAUAAAUAAUACCUUACUUUGGCAUUGUCGACUUGAUCAUAUUAGUGAGGCUAGGAUUAACAAGUUGUACAAAGAAAAGUUGUACAAAGAGAGAUAAUGUAAAUAAUACCUUACUUUGGCAUUGGGACAGCUGGAUUUUGCCAUGAAUGGUGAACUAAGCCAGGAUUAGAUCCUGUAGUCUCUCCCUGACUCCUUUUCUCAAUUUGUCAUAAAUUAUCAUAUGAACAAACUGAACAUCAACCUGCCACAACUGCUGAACAUGCUGAAAACAACAGAGAGCCAUUUCAAGGGUGAAAAGGCUCCGAUACGUCUUUUUGAUAAGAUCUACAAGAAGAAGACAAAGAAGGGUUCUAAGAAAAAGAUGAAUCCUAAGGCUGGCAUCUCCAAGAAGAAGAUGAAGAAGGUCUCCGUCAAAGGUACUUGCUAUCACCGUGGCAAUAAGAGCCACUGAAAAAUAAAUUACAAGGAGUACCUUACAACCGUGAAACCGACAAACGUUGUUAAAGAUUUAUAUAUGAUACAAACUAAUUUAUCAUUAAGUACUUCAAUGUCAAAUUUUUGAGUAUUGGAUACCAUCUGUGGCUCAUAUCUUUGCAAAUCAUUGCAGGGUCUAUAAGAAAUAAAGAGUUUGAAUAAAUGUGACUUCGAGCUGUUUGGUGCUAGUGGAGAGUUCAUUCAGACCGAAGCCAUAGAAACCAAGAUUUUGGAAUUGCCUUCAAGCAAAAUUUUGAAACUAAAGACCUGUUAUUAUAUUCUAAAUAUCGUUAGAAAUAUUAUUUCUAUACUAUUGUUAUUAGAACAAAAUUUUGAAAUAAAUAUAAAGAACAAUGGUUGUUCUAUAUAUUUUUUUAAUGAAUAUUAUGAAAGUACUUUUAUUAAUAAUGGUUUUUUUUUCAUUUAAUGAUAAUAUAUUUCAUAUUGAUAAUAUGAAAAAAAGAAAGAGAAAGGAUGUAAAUAUCACAUAGCUCUAGUAUUGCU